rnacentral:rRNA from 1 species
UACGAAGGGGGCGAGCGUUGUUCGGAUUUACUGGGCGUAAAGAGCGCGCAGGCGGUCGUUCAAGUCGAGUGUGAAAGCCCCCGGCUCAACUGGGGAGGGUCAUUCGAUACUGAUCGACUCGAAGGCAGGAGAGGGUAGUGGAAUUCCCGGUGUAGUGGUGAAAUGCGUAGAUAUCGGGAGGAACACCAGUGGCGAAGGCGACUACCUGGCCUGUUCUUGACGCUGAGGCGCGAAAGCUAGGGGAGCAAACGGG